UACGAGAGGCGCAAACGUUAUUCGGAUUUACUGGGCUUAAAGAGUUCGUAGGCGGCGCAGAAAGUAGGGUGUGAAAGCCCUCGGCUCAACCGAGGAACUGCGCUCUAAACUACUGUGCUUGAGGGACCUAGAGGUGAGCGGAACUGAUGGUGGAGCGGUGAAAUGCGUUGAUAUCAUCAGGAACACCGGAGGCGAAGGCGGCUCACUGGGGGUCUUCUGACGCUGAGGAACGAAAGCCAGGGGAGCGAACGGG
rnacentral:rRNA from 1 species